rnacentral:rRNA from 1 species
UACGGGGGGAGCAAGCGUUGUUCGGAUUUACUGGGCGUAAAGGGCGCGUAGGCGGUCAGCACAAGUCAGUUGUGAAAUCUCCGGGCUUAACUCGGAAAGGUCAACUGAUACUGUGCGACUAGAGUGCAGAAGGGGCAACUGGAAUUCUCGGUGUAGCGGUGAAAUGCGUAGAUAUCGAGAGGAACACCUGCGGCGAAGGCGGCCCGCUGGACCCCAUCUGACGCUGAGGCGCGAAAGCCAGGGGAGCGAACGGG